rnacentral:lncRNA from 7 species
GUUAUGUGUCCUUUGGAAAAAUCUGUCUCACAUCUUUUUCCAGAAAGCAGAAGUUCUGGGAAUGGGGAGAGAUUGUCUUCUGUCCUACCUAUGAAUUAAUACCUACAUCUGCUGGCCACGUGGGUUGGAAUGAAGCUAUUUCACACUUCUUUUUCAGACAUGCCACUGGAAAAAAUAAGCCAAUUUACAGCCUUGGUAAACCAAGAUCAGCAUUCCAGAGUGAUCUCCGAGCACCUCCUAUUCUUGCAGCACGGAUGCUUAGGGGAUACUGGUGCCCUCUGAGAAGGAGGCACAGCAGGAAGGGGCACUUUCCCCAAGAAAAGCUUGGGCUUUGGCCAUGGGAGGGGCACUGGCUUCAGAAGACACGCAGGGACAUCCACAGGAGCAUUGACUCAGCUCAGGUCAUCGAUCCUCACCCAAUAGAGACAGAUGCACUGCUUCAGAAUGAAAGAGAGCCACGUUCUGAAUAGCAGCACUUUCUACCGCUUUUUCCCUUUGCCUGUGUGUGCCAGCCGGGCUCCAUGCAGAGUAACUCUUUUUAGCUGACAAGAGUCAGCGUGAUCUCAGUGCAAAGCGACACGUUUGCCAUCUGCAGAAAGCCAUGGGUUAAAGCACAACUGACCUUCAAACCUCGCCAGCAUUCUCAGUGCUCUGCUGAAGCUAAAUGCUAGGCUAAUUUAUGAAUGGGACAACUCAUCAGCAGAAUUGUAAUGAAUAGACGGCGCGCCCAUUCAUUAUUUUUCCAUCUCUAAGUGUUCAUAAACAGCCCAGUGAUAAUUAACAGAAAUUCUGCCUUUAUAGAAAAGUGACACUUCAUAAAUACCGAAUGGUGCUACUGUCGUACAUACACACUGGGUUUCCGUGGAUGUAUAAAUUCAGCAAUUACCUCUGGAAAAGUAGCUUAGUAAAGAAGAGGAAAGUCAUAGAGCAAUUAAAAUCCGAGAAACAAACAGAACGUCCUCCUGAUUCAAACAUUCAAUGACAGUAAACAGGGCAAUGCAAUCAGGAAGAAAGGCCCUGCCCUAAUCAGUGAAGGUGAUUUUUCACAUAGCUUGAGAUGUAGCUCAGUGAGGGAUGCUCGAACCCACCUGCAAUCAGCUGAGGGAGGCUUUGAGACGCUCGGCAUCAGGAAUUUAUGCCUGCGGAAGCAGAGCCUCGAGUCACACGACUAUAUCAGAAGGUCAGCUCUCUUUUACAGAACAAACAGGAGCCCUCAAAUUUUCCAGCCUUCCUAGAAAAUUACCCUGCAAAAGAUGAACUGACCUUUACCAGCGCUGGGCUUCACACGUAGCUGAGAGAGGUGUGAGCUGCUGCUUUCAUCUCAAUGAGAUGUUAAUUCCGAUUCCCUGUUUCUCGGGGGAAAUGCCAGGUCCCACCACGGGGGGUGGCUGUGGGAGUUGGGUGGAUGUAGCGAGUGGGACAUUUCUGGGCGCUUAGGGUACUGCUGUGACAGGAGAAGGGUGCCAGGAUGCUACUGCUGGGAAGGAGAAUUUUCCUCUAAGUGCU